CAACUAGCCGACGGACGGGAUCUCCGCCGGGGCUUUGGGUCCGGCCACUUCCGGGAGCCCCCACGCAGGCGCAGUCGGCGCGCCGCCGGGGUCACGUGAGCAGCCGGCGCGGCAGCGUCGUCGGGGCCCGCCCGGCGUGGGCCGCGCGGCGAGGAGCCGGCUCUUCCCGCAGGUGCUGUUCGGGUUCCCAGCUCAGCGCUGCGGCGGCCGGCCGAGCGCUUUCGCGUGCAAGUCCCUGUUCCUCCCCUCGCACAGCUCUGAAGUAGGUGCUGCCGCCUUGCAGUCUCGGCUACUGUGACCUAUGGCAGUUCACUGAAGGGACUGCUAAGCACAGAGCCUGAGGGCGCCGCGAGCCGGCUGAGCCAUCCUGCCACUGUGCAGCUCACGGUCAGAUUAUAGAAUCAGCUUUUCAAAGAUACACAGUAAAGGAAAGGAAUAAGAUUUACUCCAGAUUUGUGAAGAUUCAUAUAAUCGUGAAGUUUGUGAUCAGAAAACAAGAAUUGGGGAUCCCUGGGUGGCGCUGCGGUUUAGCGCCUGCCUUUGGCCCAGGGCUCGAUCCAGGAUACCCGGGAUCGAAUCCCACGUCGGGCUCCCGGUGCAUGGAGCCUGCUUCUCCCUCUGCCUAUGUCUCUGCCUCUGUCUCUCUCUCUCUCUCUCUCUCUCUCUCUCUCUCUCUCUCUCUGUGUGUGUGACUAUCAUAAAUAAAUAAAAAUUAAGAAAAAACUUAAAAAAAAAA
rnacentral:lncRNA from 12 species